GCCAGCACAGUGUUGUGGUUUGAGUGUUAGACUAUGACUCUGGAUACCAGGGUUCAAUUCCCUGCUUGGCC